rnacentral:rRNA from 1 species
UACGGAGGGGGCUAGCGUUGUUCGGAAUUACUGGGCGUAAAGCGCACGUAGGCGGCUUUGUAAGUUAGAGGUGAAAGCCCGGGGCUCAACCCCGGAAUUGCCUUUAAGACUGCAUCGCUAGAAUUGUGGAGAGGUAAGUGGAAUUCCGAGUGUAGAGGUGAAAUUCGUAGAUAUUCGGAAGAACACCAGUGGCGAAGGCGGGUAGCUGGGCCGACACUGACGCUGAGGUGCGAAAGCGUGGGGAGCAAACAGG